rnacentral:rRNA from 1 species
AAUCAACGCUGGCGGCGCGCUUAACACAUGCAAGUCGCACGAGAAAGUGGAGCAAUCCAUGAGUAAAGUGGCGUACGGGUGAGUAACACGUGGAUCAUCUACCUCUUGGUGGGGAAUAACCUUGGGAAACCGGGGCUAAUACCGCAUAAGCCUGGAAAGGGAAAGCAGCAAUGCGCCGAGAGAGGAGUCCGCGGCCGAUUAGCUAGUUGGUAGGGUAAAAGCCCACCAAGGCAANGAUCGGUAGCCGGCCUGAGAGGGCACACGGCCACACUGGCACUGAAACACGGGCCAGACUCCUACGGGAGGCAGCAGUGGGGAAUCUUGCACAAUGGGGGAAACCCUGAUGCAGCGACGCCGCGUGAGCGAUGAAGCCCUU